UUUUCAGAAUACACACACUCCACCCUUCCAUGCCUACCUUUUCUGUUAGCACCCAACACACUCUUUAUCCCUGCCUUCACUCCUCCAUGUACUUCCACUCACAACCACACAUAAUUUCCUCUCUCAUACGAACCUCCCUCACCCAUUGAACUCCUCAUUCUCUCUCCUUCCCCGGCCUCCUCCAUGUACCUCCACUCAGCAUCACACAAAAUUUCCUCUCUCUCAUGGACCUCACUCACUCACCAAACUCCUCAUUCUCUCUCCUCCCGCGGCCUCCUCCAUGUACCUCCACUCAUACUCACACAGAAUUUCCUCCCUCUCACGGACCUCACUCAUUCACCAAACUCCUCAUUCUCUCUCAUCCCGCGGCCUCCUCCAUGUACAUCUUUCACACUUCCACGAUUCCACCGACCUUAU
rnacentral:lncRNA from 1 species